CCUACGGGUGGCAGCAGUAGGGAAUUUUGCGCAAUGGGCGAAAGCCUGACGCAGCAACGCCGCGUGAUUGAUUAAGCCCUUCGGGGUGUAAAGAUCUGUCAGUGGGGACGAAACUUGACGGUACCCACAGAGGUAGCACCGGCUAACCCAGUGCCAGCAGCCGCGGUAAUUCGGAGGGUGCAAGCGUUGUUCGGAAUCAGUGGGCGUAAAGAGUUCGUAGUUGGCAUGUUAAGUCUGGUGUUAAAUGCAGAGGCUCAACUUCUGUUCGGCACUGGAAACUGGUAAUCUUGAGUGCGGUAGAGGUAGAGGGAAUUCCUGGUGUAGCGGUGAAAUGCGUAGAUAUCAGGAGGAACAUCAGUGGCGUAGGCGCUUUACUGGGCCGUAAUUGACAGUGAGGAGCGAAAGCCGGGGUAGCAAAUAGGAUUAGAUACCCGAGUAGUC
rnacentral:rRNA from 1 species